rnacentral:rRNA from 1 species
UUUUUUUUCCCGGGGGGGAAAAUAGCAUAUCAAUAAGCGGAGGAAAAGAAACCAACAGGGAUUGCCCUAGUAACGGCGAGUGAAGCGGCAACAGCUCAAAUUUGAAAUCUGGCCCCAGGCCCGAGUUGUAAUUUGUAGAGGAUGCUUCUGGUGCGGUGCCUUCCGAGUUCCCUGGAACGGGACGCCAAAGAGGGUGAGAGCCCCGUCCGGUCGUGCACUAAGCCUCUGUGAAGCUCCUUCGACGAGUCGAGUAGUUUGGGAAUGCUGCUCAAAAUGGGAGGUAUACGUCUUCUAAAGCUAAAUACCGGCCAGAGACCGAUAGCGCACAAGUAGAGUGAUCGAAAGAUGAAAAGCACUUUGAAAAGAGGGUUAAAUAGUACGUGAAAUUGCUGAAAGGGAAGCGCUUAUGACCAGACUUGGGCUCGGUGAAUCAUCCGGCGUUCUCGCCGGUGCACUUCGCCGGUCCAGGCCAGCAUCAGUUCGCUUCGGGGGAUAAAGGCGGCGGGAAUGUGGCUCCCUCGGGAGUGUUAUAGACCACCGUGCAAUACCCUGGAGCGGACUGAGGUACGCGUUCUGCAAGGAUGCUGGCGUAAUGGUCAUCAGUGACCCGUCUUGAAACACGGACCAAGGAGUCGUCUUCGUAUGCGAGUGUUCGGGUGUCAAACCCCUACGCGUAAUGAAAGUGAACGUAGGAGAGAGCUUCGGCGCAUCUCCGACCGAUCCUGAUGUUCUCGGAUGGAUUUGAGUAAGAGCAUACGGGGCCGGACCCGAAAGAAGGUGAACUAUGCCUGUAUAGGGUGAAGCCAGAGGAAACUCUGGUGGAGGCUCGCAGCGGUUCUGACGUGCAAAUCGAUCGUCAAAUAUGGGCAUGGGGGCGAAAGACUAAUCGAACCUU